ACAGGACUGCCAGGCUCAUAUGCCAACUGUGUAGCAACAGACCAACACAGUGAGACAGUGAGGUUUGCAACAGAGAAUGCAAGACCACUGAGAGAGGAGAUGGGAGAAAUCCUCAAGCCUCAAAUCUAUCUCCUCAAGGGGUUCUUGCUCACUGAAUUUUUACCAAAACUCUGCAAGAAAUAUUGUAUUAUCAUUCUUACUCUAUGGAUGAAAGAAAAGAGGCUAAGAGAGAUAAAAUUACUUGUCCCCAUGCAAUGGUUACUGAAAGAUGGAGCCAGGAUUCUACCUUAGGGAAAUGCAAGGAAACCAUCAAAGAGAUACUGUGAAGUGUGCAUCUGCUAAGGGCAAAUUGAGAGAGAAUGACAUUGUAUCCUUGAAAAUUAUUGUAGAGAUGCCUGAAUAUGCCCAAACUGCUUUCAGUGAGCAAACUUCCUCUUGGAUCUGUGAAGCUUGGAGGAAAAGUCAGAGAACCACGCUGCUCUUAUGUAAAACUAUCUUAUGCUCACUCGUAUUGUACCAGGAAGGUUUUUUCCCCUGGGUAUAUAUCGAGAUUGUAUAGUUACUCCUACUUUCUGUCCCAUCUAGCAGGCCCUUCUGGGUUUCACCGAGCUGGAAAGCUCUGAUUGUUUUCUCUGUUAGAAGAAAAGAUAGAUGGGUCAUGAGGCAGGACUGCGUUUACCACUUUCUUGACAAGGAACUUCUGAGGAUUCCUUAAAGAUCUCUUGCUGGGCUCUCUCUUCUGUAGUUCAUUUAACAAGAAUGGAUGCAUAUCUUCUUUUCGUUGUUUGUUUGUUUUGAGAUGGAGUCUUGCUUUGUCACCCAAGCUGGAGUGCAGUGGCGCGAUAUCAGCUCACUGCAACCUCCGCCUCCCAGGUUCAAGCAAUUAUCCUGCCUCGGCCUCCCAAGUAGCUGGGAUUACAGGCAUGUA
rnacentral:lncRNA from 1 species